UAGAGUUUGAUCCUGGCUCAGGAUGAACGCUAGCUACAGGCUUAACACAUGCAAGUCGAGGGGCAGCAUGGUCUUAGCUUGCUAAGGCCGAUGGCGACCGGCGCACGGGUGAGUAACGCGUAUCCAACCUGCCUUACACUCUUGGACAGCCUUCUGAAAGGGAGAUUAAUACAAGAUGUUAUCAUGAGUAAGCAUUUUCGCAUGAUUAAAGGUUUACCGGUGUAAGAUGGGGAUGCGUUCCAUUAGAUAGUAGGCGGGGUAACGGCCCACCUAGUCUUCGAUGGAUAGGGGUUCUGAGAGGAAGGUCCCCCACAUUGGAACUGAGACACGGUCCAAACUCCUACGGGAGGCAGCAGUGAGGAAUAUUGGUCAAUGGACGAGAGUCUGAACCAGCCAAGUAGCGUGAAGGAUGAAGGUUCUAUGGAUUGUAAACUUCUUUUAUACGGGAAUAAACGAAUCCACGUGUGGAUUUUUGCAUGUACCGUAUGAAUAAGGAUCGGCUAACUCCGUGCCAGCAGCCGCGGUAAUACGGAGGAUCCGAGCGUUAUCCGGAUUUAUUGGGUUUAAAGGGAGCGUAGAUGGGUUGUUAAGUCAGUUGUGAAAGUUUGCGGCUCAACCGUAAAAUUGCAAUUGAUACUGGCAGUCUUGAGUACAGUUGAGGCAGCGGAAUUCGUGGUGUAGCGGUGAAUGCUUAGAUAUCACGAAGACUUCCGAUUGCGAAGGCAGCUUACUAACUGUAACUGACAUGAUGCUCGAAGUGGGGUUCAAACAGAUAGA
rnacentral:rRNA from 1 species